rnacentral:tRNA from 1 species
UGGGCUGUGGCUCAGUGGUAGAGCACUCACCUCCACGUACGAGACCCUGGGUUCGAUCCUCAGCACCACAU